rnacentral:rRNA from 1 species
UACGUAGGGGGCAAGCGUUGUCCGGAUUUAUUGGGCGUAAAGAGCGUGUAGGCGGCCCGAUAAGUCCGCCGUGAAAGUCCAGGGCUCAACCCUGGAAUGCCGGUGGAAACUGUCGGGCUGGAGUCCGGAAGAGGCGAGUGGAAUUCCUGGUGUAGCGGUGAAAUGCGCAGAUAUCAGGGGAACACCAAUGGCGAAGGCAGCUCGCUGGGACGGUACUGACGCUGAGACGCGAAAGCGUGGGGAGCAAACAGG